CCAGGAAUACUUAUCCCUUCUCCCUUUCCUGGCCCAUCAGGAAAGCUGCAUUUAAGACCAAAAGGAAUAAUUAUUCCAGAAGUCCUCUGAGUGCCCUUGUAGAAGUAGAUAAACAGAUUGAUCAGUGAGAAAAAAAAUAUGUUCUCAUCCAGCCUGUGGGGUGAGUUAACCAUGCAUGCUUUUCUCCGGAUGUUUGACUUCCUGAAUCUUUCCUGAACAAUGCCAUCUCUGUCCUGGCACCCCUGGCAAGCAGUCCCAUGUGAGACAGGUUCUUGUCACAUGUCCUUUUCCUGAAAUGAGUCACUAGAGAGUGGGCUGUAGUCAUAACCUUCACCAGUUAAGGGAGGUGAAUGUGGAUUGGAAUGAACACAAACACGGUACAACUUGGUGCUUAACGUUCCUUUCCAUCAACACUUUGCCCCAGGCCUUAACCUUGCAACUCAAAAAAGUAGGGUCGCAUAAUGAAUGGGAUAAACUGAAUGACCGCUUGUAAUCCACAAACAAAGGGCCUUUCAACAGCCUAUGGUCGGAGGCCUUAUCUAUUCCAAUCAAAUCUAGCCAGUUGCAAACUGGAGAAAAAAAUGGGUGAUCCCAGUGAGAGUUAGUCCCAGAAGAAAAUUGAAAAAGACAUUUUGUUACCUCCUCAGGAAAAGUGAUAAUGAGCAGAGAAGGGAAAAAUCUAAAUAACUGAUGCAAAGACAAAGAACUGAAACUGAGAGAAUUGGAUGCAUGUCUUCCCCCUUUAGUUGUAUAAGCAUAAACUGGUUUUAUGACGGCAAGCAUAAAAUUAAGAUCAGCAGUGCACAAAUCUCUGUGUAACCUUCAAGACCUUUUAUUUCCCCAAAUUAGAUGUGACCUUAAGAACUGAUGAUGUCUUCACCCUGGGCAGCUACAUCAUUUUUCUUGAUAAUUUACAGUUUUCUUUCAAAUAAGGUUUUUAUUUUUAUGGCAACUCAGAUCUUGAACCUGUAGAGAGGACAGCAAUCCUUACUGGUGUCACUGUAUCACCCUAUACAGCUCCUCAAACACAAGUCCAGAAGGGGCUUCAUUUUGGUGGAAGUCCUGGGCCUACAUUUGUAUGUUUAAGUGGAACCCGAAUACUUGCUCCCAGAGUGGUGUCAGUGGUCACCCCAACUUUCCAAAUUCUGGCAGGCACAGCAGGUCAUUCUGUGAGCUGUUCUCAUUCACAUCCUAUUUCCAACUGGUUCUGUUCCAUGGAGCCCCAGCUGUACUCUGCAUUAAAUUCACACUGAGGCAGGAGAGUGCUGACAGGGAAUCCAGCCAUCUUCUCUUCCUGGGCUCACAGGGUGGUUUAUCCUGGGGGUUGUUGUACAGCAGUUCUCUGAUGUCAAAAAUGAGCAGGCUUAGGGAAAUUGAUCUACUUCAGAAUGGGUUUGCAUGAGUACACCUGGGCAGUGAUUUGUCAGACUUUGGGAAAAUAUA
rnacentral:lncRNA from 1 species